CGAAAGCCUGACGGAGCAAUACCGCGUGAGGGAGGAAGGCUCUUGGGUCGUAAACCUCAAAACUUAGGGAAGAAGCAAGUGACGGUACCUAAUAUAAGCAUCGGCUAACUCCGUGCCAGCAGCCGCGGUAAUACGAGGGAUGCAAGCGUUAUCCGGAAUCAUUGGGCGUAAAGAGUCUGUAGGUGGCACUUCAAGUCUGCUGUCAAAGACCGAAGCUUAACUUCGGAAAGGCGGUGGAAACUGAAGAGCUAGAGUAAAGCAGGGGUAGAGGGAAUUCCCAGUGUAGCGGUGAAAUGCGUAGAGAUUGGGAAGAACACCAGUGGCGAAGGCGCUCUACUGGACCUGUACUGACACUCAGGGACGAAAGCUAGGGUAGCG
rnacentral:rRNA from 1 species